AUUGAACGCUGGCGGCAUGCUUUACACAUGCAAGUCGAACGGUAACAGGGUGCUUGCACCGCUGACGAGUGGCGAACGGGUGAGUAAUGCGUCGGAACGUGCCGAGUAGUGGGGGAUAACGCAGCGAAAGUUGUGCUAAUACCGCAUACGUACUGAGGUAGAAAGUGGGGGACCUUCGGGCCUCACGCUAUUCGAGCGGCCGACGUCUGAUUAGCUAGUAGGUGAGGUAAGAGCUCACCUAGGCGACGAUCAGUAGCGGGUAUGCGCGGAUGGUCCGCCCCACUGGGAGUGAGACGCGGCCCAGCCUCGUACGGGCGGGAGCAGUGGGGAAUUUUGGCCAAUGGGCGCAAGCCUGAUCCAGCCAUGCCGCGUGUCUGAAGAAGGCCUUCGGGUUGUAAAGGACUUUUGUCAGGGAGGAAAUCCUAGUGGCUAAUAACUGCUGGGGAUGACAGUACCUGAAGAAUAAGCACCGGCUAACUACGUGCCAGCCGCCGCGGUAACAC
rnacentral:rRNA from 1 species